rnacentral:lncRNA from 1 species
UCCGUUGCAAAUGCCAGAUGGCUCGAGGUUGGGGAUGGUAGCUAUAGCCUGGAAAUCGCGCAAGCGAUGUCCGCCGAGGUGGCCAGUGCGUGCACGCAGACGGUCGGUUGCGCCUAUGGGUGCGCAUCCCUAGUAGGUGCGCAGUUACACGUUGUGCAAUGUGGUAAGGCGUACUCGUCACAAAGGUGCAGUGCACUGUUCUUCUCCGCAGCCCUGGUUUUGCGGCUGGGUCCCAGGCAUGGGAAGGCUGGUGUUGUCAGAUCCGCAACACCCACCCAGCACUUUGUGCUCCCGUGAAGCGGGAGUGCGAAGCGCUGGGUGGGUGAGUGGGGGCGGGGGCCCCUUCCCCUGCCUUAACAGCCCCCUUCUGGUGUCGGCUGUAGCCCGUGCGCGGACUGCAGGGUAGGGGCGUCUCUGCAUAUGCCCCAUGCAUGCUUGAGGCCCAUGUCCUUGGCAGUGAUACAAUGCCCAGUAAGAUAGACACAUGUAGGUUUUGCAAAUUAUACUUUUUUAUUUCCGCAAAACAAUAAAAUGAAAAAAAAAUUCCAUUAUAAAUAUUCAGAACGUAGGGAUUUUCCUUGAUGAAUGCAAAAUAAAAUAGAUUUUUAAUCAAGGUUUCACCUUGUUGACAGUCCCUCGUCCUCGUUCUGCAAAUAGAAAUUUAAAGCGUCAGGGAAGCAUAACCAGGCUUGCAUCGUUGCAACCAUCGUGCAUAUCCGUUACUUACC